UGGUCUACCACUACGUGGUCUAGUGGUUAGAACGUCCGCCUCGAAUGCGGGAGGUCGUGGGUUCGAACACAGUCCGAAUCAGACCAA